rnacentral:rRNA from 1 species
AUUGAACGCUGGCGGCAGGCCUAACACAUGCAAGUCGAGCGGAUGAGAGGAGCUUGCUUCUCGAUUCAGCGGCGGACGGGUGAGUAAUGCCUAGGAAUCUGCCUGGUAGUGGGGGACAACGUUUCGAAAGGAACGCUAAUACCGCAUACGUCCUACGGGAGAAAGCAGGGGACCUUCGGGCCUUGCGCUAGCAGAUGAGCCUAGGUCGGAUUAGCCAGUUGGUGAGGUAAUGGCUCACAAAGGCGACGAUCCGUAACUGGUCUGAGAGGAUGAUCAGUCACACUGGAACUGAGACACGGUCCAGACUCCUACGGGAGGCAGCAGUGGGGAAUAUUGGACAAUGGGCGAAAGCCUGAUCCAGCCAUGCCGCGUGUGUGAAGAAGGUCUUCGGAUUGUAAAGCACUUUAAGUUGGGAGGAAGGGUUGUAGAUUAAUACUCUGCAAUUUUGACGUUACCGACAGAAUAAGCACCGGCUAACUCUGUGCCAGCAGCCGCGGUAAAAC